rnacentral:rRNA from 1 species
GGUUAAGUUAUGAAGGGCGCACGGUGGAUGCCUUGGCACUAGGAGCCGAUGAAGGACGGGACUAACACCGAUAUGCUUCGGGGAGCUGUAAGUGAGCUUUGAUCCGGAGAUUUCCGAAUGGGGGAACCCAUUGUUCGUAAUGGAACAGUAUCCAUACUUGAAUACAUAGAGUAUGGAAGGCAGACCCAGGGAACUGAAACAUCUAAGUACCUGGAGGAAGAGAAAGCAAAUGCGAUUCCCUGAGUAGCGGCGAGCGAAACGGGAUGUAGCCCAAACCAAGAGGCUUGCCUCUUGGGGUUGUAGGACACUCUAUACGGAGUUACAAAGGAACGGAGUAGACGAAGAAGUCUGGAAAGGCUCGUCAAAGAAGGUAACAACCCUGUAGUUGAAACUUCGUUCCCUCUUGAGUGGAUCCUGAGUACGGCGGGACACGUGAAAUCCCGUCGGAAGCUGGGAGGACCAUCUCCCAAGGCUAAAUACUACCUAGUGACCGAUAGUGAACCAGUACCGUGAGGGAAAGGUGAAAAGCACCCCGGGAGGGGAGUGAAAUAGAACCUGAAACCGUGUGCCUACAAGUAGUCAGAGCCCGUUAACGGGUGAUGGCGUGCCUUUUGUAGAAUGAACCGGCGAGUUACGAUCCCAUGCAAGGUUAAGUCGAUGAGACGGAGCCGCAGCGAAAGCGAGUCUGAACAGGGCGAAUGAGUAUGUGGUCGUAGACCCGAAACCAGGUGAUCUACCCAUGUCCAGGAUGAAGUCCAGGUAACACUGGAUGGAGGUCCGAACCCACGCACGUUGAAAAGUGCGGGGAUGAGGUGUGGGUAGCGGAGAAAUUCCAAUCGAACUUGGAGAUAGCUGGUUCUCUCCGAAAUAGCUUUAGGGCUAGCCUCAUGUGUAAGAGUCUUGGAGGUAGAGCACUGUUUGGACUAGGGGCCCUCAUCGGGUUACCGAAUUCAGACAAACUCCGAAUGCCAAAGACUUAUCCAUGGGAGUCAGACUGCGAGUGAUAAGAUCCGUAGUCGAAAGGGAAACAGCCCAGACCACCAGCUAAGGUCCCAAAGUAUACGUUAAGUGGAAAAGGAUGUGGAGUUGCUUAGACAACCAGGAUGUUGGCUUAGAAGCAGCCACCAUUUAAAGAGUGCGUAAUAGCUCACUGGUCGAGUGACUCUGCGCCGAAAAUGUACCGGGGCUAAACGUAUCACCGAAGCUGUGGAUUGACACCU